UACGGGGGGGGCAAGCGUUGUUCGGAAUUACUGGGCGUAAAGGGCUCGUAGGCGGCCAACUAAGUCAGACGUGAAAUCCCUCGGCUUAACCGGGGAACUGCGUCUGAUACUGGAUGGCUUGAGUUUGGGAGAGGGAUGCGGGAUUCCAGGUGUAGCGGUGAAAUGCGUAGAUAUCUGGAGGAACACCGGUGGCGAAGGCGGCAUCCUGGACCAACACUGACGCUGAGGAGCGAAAGCCAGGGGAGCAAACGGG
rnacentral:rRNA from 1 species